AAUAUUAACUUGUAAAAUCAUAGCGUUCCACCUCCAAAGUGAUGGUUUUUCCUGGUAGUGUCUUCGUAAAAAAUUUGCAUUUCACCUCGGAGGCGAAAGACCAAGUGAAGAUUGGGACUCCUUUUGGAUACGGACCACUUUCAAGCUGUUUCCCGGCGCAGAUAAGCCUUUGCUGAUCCGGUGGGAUCCCUACACCUUGUCCUAGACAUUAUCAAUCGUAUCAGAGCUUUCGAACCCCAACAUUAUAAAAAUAGACAGAACGAGCGAGAGAACAAUCGACGAAGCCAAAAUCGAAAAUCCAUAGAAGAAAAGAGCUGGGAUGAAAUUGGACGAGGAUCCGGUGUGUUUAUCGGAGGCAAGAGGCAUGAAGAUUUGCUGGCUUCUUCUUUCUCUGAUACAGAUACAGACACGUUCGCACAGCCUCGUAUUUCUUUAUUUUGAUGUAAAUUCGUUUGAGAAUGAUACGGUGACAGGGUCACUUUGAAACCAAAAGAUUAACAAUGCCAGAGGUGAAGGUUAGCGAA